rnacentral:sRNA from 1 species
AAAAUUUGUACCAAACAUUUACAU